rfam:Mycobacterium arupense strain GTC1 Marup_contig000043, whole genome shotgun sequence.
UCAGGAAUCCGGUGCGAGUCCGGAGCGGUCCCGCCACUGUGAUCGGGCCAGUGCGCUCGCCCGAGAGUCAGAUACUG